GAAAUAAAAGUGCUUAUAUAGUUCUAGUUCAACUGCAAACAUAGUAUAUUGAAUUCAAACUCAUGCCAUGCUAGGUUAGAAACUGUAAAUAUUUCAGUAUGUGCCAGGAACAUCUUCAAGAAAAAAAUGUCUAUUAUUGUAAAGGCACAGUUGUUAUAAUAGGCAACAACAGGAAAGUGUGUUUAUAAAAAAAUAAAUAAAGAUAUGAAAGAGCUCAUCCUUUGUCCCUGCGAUUUAGUUACUGAGAUGGACAAAACCCCUGAACAGUAAUGAUACAAUGGAAGUUGGUCAAAAGGAGAAGCUCCUUUGGACCAGAUUCGGUGCUCUUCAGCGAGUUUCAGGACCUGUAAAUGCCACUCAAUGAACAUGAUGGACAGUUAAAGACCAAACACUUAGCAUAGUCUGAAAAGUAUCAAGGAG
ensembl:lncRNA